AUACGGAGGAUCCGAGCGUUAUCCGGAUUUAUUGGGUUUAAAGGGUGCGCAGGCGGCCAUUUAAGUCAGCGGUUAAAUCGUGGGGCUCCACCCCAUUCUGCCGUUGAUACUGGGUGGCUUGAUUGCGGUCGAGGUUGGCGGAAUUCGUUGUGUAGCGGGGCAAUGCAUAGAUAUGACGAAGAACACCGAUUGCGUAGGCAGCUGACCAGACCGCAAAUGACGCUCAUGCACGAAAGUGCGGGGAUCGAACAGGAUUAGAUACCCUGGUAGUCCGCACAGUAAACGAUGAAUACUUGUUUUCGGCGAUAUAAUGUCGGAGGCAAAGCGAAAGCGAUAAGUAUUCCACCUGGGGAGUACGCCGGCAACGGUGAAACUCAAAUGAAUUGACGGGG
rnacentral:rRNA from 1 species